GUCGAACGAUGAACCACUUCGGUGGGGAUUAGUGGCGAACGGGUGAGUAACACGUGGGCAAUCUGCCCUGCACUCUGGGACAAGCCCUGGAAACGGGGUCUAAUACCGGAUACUGACCCGCUUGGGCAUCCAAGCGGUUCGAAAGCUCCGGCGGUGCAGGAUGAGCCCGCGGCCUAUCAGCUAGUUGGUGAGGUAAUGGCUCACCAAGGCGACGACGGGUAGCCGGCCUGAGAGGGCGACCGGCCACACUGGGACUGAGACACGGCCCAGACUCCUACGGGAGGCAGCAGUGGGGAAUAUUGCACAAUGGGCGAAAGCCUGAUGCAGCGACGCCGCGUGAGGGAUGACGGCCUUCGGGUUGUAAACCUCUUUCAGCAGGGAAGAAGCGAAAGUGACGGUACCUGCAGAAGAAGCGCCGGCUAACUACGUGCCAGCAGCCGCGGUAAUACGUAGGGCGCAAGCGUUGUCCGGAAUUAUUGGGCGUAAAGAGCUCGUAGGCGGCUUGUCACGUCGGUUGUGAAAGCCCGGGGCUUAACCCCGGGUCUGCAGUCGAUACGGGCAGGCUAGAGUUCGGUAGGGGAGAUCGGAAUUCCUGGUGUAGCGGUGAAAUGCGCAGAUAUCAGGAGGAACACCGGUGGCGAAGGCGGAUCUCUGGGCCGAUACUGACGCUGAGGAGCGAAAGCGUGGGGAGCGAACAGGAUUAGAUACCCUGGUAGUCCACGCCGUAAACGGUGGGCACUAGGUGUGGGCAACAUUCCACGUUGUCCGUGCCGCAGCU
rnacentral:rRNA from 2 species